CCAGGUUCUGCAGUGGUGCAGUGGUUGCACAGCCUUUCCUCUACAGGGAGCCAGGUUCUGCUGUGGUGCAGUGGUUGCACAGCCUUUCCUCUACAGGGAGCCAGGUUCUGCUGUGGUGCAGUGGUUGCACAGCCUUUCCUCUACAGGGAGCCAGGUUCUGCUGUGGUGCAGUGGUUGCACAGCCUUUCCUCUACAGGGAGCCAGGUUCUGCUGUGGUGCAGUGGUUGCACAGCCUUUCCUCUACAGGGAGCCAGGUUCUGCUGUGGUGCAGUGGUUGCACAGCCUUUCCUCUACAGGGAGCCAGGUUCUGCUGUGGUGCAGUGGUUGCACAGCCUUUCCUCUACAGGGAGCCAGGUUCUGCUGUGGUGCAGUGGUUGCACAGCCUUUCCUCUACAGGGAGCCAGGUUCUGCUGUGGUGCAGUGGUUGCACAGCCUUUCCUCUACAGGGAGCCAGGUUCUGCUGUGGUGCAGUGGUUGCACAGCCUUUCCUCUACAGGGAGCCAGGUUCUGCUGUGGUGCAGUGGUUGCACAGCCUUUCCUCUACAGGGAGCCAG